GGAGAGGUGGCCGAGUGGUCUAAGGUACUCCCCUGCUAAGGGAGCGUCGGACAAAAUCUGACCGAGGGUUCGAAUCCCUCCCUCUCCGCCA
rnacentral:tRNA from 3 species